GGGUGAACGUGAGGUGGCCUUUGGCCGUAUGGCGCAUAGUCAAUGCGGAAUGCUGAUAUGCCAAGGGUGUUGAGUCCUGGAAUCUGCUCAACAUUUGCAUCUGUUUCAUCAACACCAAGUCGAUUUGCUGUGUUGCCAGGCUUGUCUAGCCCUGAGAAGAAGAAAUCUUCAGCUCUCGCAAGCUUGGGGUCCUUGCAGAACUUCCCGUUCACAAACACUACAAGAACACACACACAUACAGACACAAAGUGGGAAAAAAAUGAAUAAUUAAGUAGCAGCACAAAUUAUAUUGAAAAUUAUAUGUUUCAUCAGUUCAGCUUAUGUACCACCAUCCUUGGGGUCAUUGAUGGCUACAAAGAUAUCUUGAAGCGGGCUGGGGUCAGAGGCUGAGGCCAAAGAAGAAGCCAAAGCUAAGAGAGCAAAACCUAUAAGAAAUUGAAUUGCCUUCAUGGUGAUUAAUUAACAGGAUGUACCUAUCUCAAAACUUUAAUCAAGUGUUGUGAUUUGAGAAUCUUGGGAGGGAAACUAGACUAUUUAUAGAACGGAGUCCAUGAACGAGUUUGUGUGUUCAAUUAAUAGUCCUCGAAGCAGGUCAAGACUUGCUGAGUCCUCAGUGCUUAUCUUUGUAAUGUUUUGCGGUCCUCAUUUUCGUUUUUCUUUUUAAAAUUUACGUGUAGAACUUGUUCGGUGGUACACAUCUUAAAUAUAAAUAGCAAACAUACGAAACAAAGUCUGGCUGAUAGUGAUAAAAUCCAAAACAGGUUAGACACGUUUGCGCCAAUCUUCAAAACGAACCGUAAAAUAUAAUAAGAAACAAUAUUUUACGCAUUUUCCAAAGCAUAAUUAAAAUAUAAUUUUUUUCAUUGGAAAGAAACGAAUUGAAGAAUUUAUGAAAAUGGGUGAGAAAGAAAUUCAUGUCUCUGGCAAGCAGACUAGCAGUUGGACGUCGUGUUCUGUAGAUAUCGAUGUUACCGGACUUGUUUGGUUUGUUGUUGGGCUUAAUGAAGAAGCAUUAUUAGCCUUUUUUCCUUUUUCAUAGCAAUUUUCGUAGCUGCUUUAACCAUUUUUAGUUCUAUAAAUGCUUUACGAAGUCAAUGAUGCACAUGUUUUUUUCAUUACGUGUUAAAGUCACAGAUCAUCUGCUUCAAAACGUUAAGACUAGGAUCAGGAGGAACCAAAUUCUUCCAUCUUAUUUUCAGCGGUCACGUUAAUUAGAGCCUGGAGUCGGCACGUUUCGUUAGUGAUAUCCUUUUACAAUGUCAAUUGAUAUAUAUCAUUUCAACUUUAAAAGCUAAUUUUAAUAUUGAAUAAUUUUUUUUAAAAAUCCCUUUUAGUAAAAUCAUGUAGAUUUUGAAAAGUAAAAAAAGAGUAGUUUUUUAAAAUUUUAUUUUGAUAAACACUUUUAUACUUAAUACAAUUUCAUAUAUAUCCUUAUAUAUAAGAGAAAAAUCCAAAAUCAUCCUUAUUAAUUAAAAAUAAAAUUAUUAAUUUGAAAGAGAUUAUUAUUAUUAUUACCAAUUAUAUUGAGAUAACAAAAUAAAAAUAAAAUUAAUAAUAUAAAACAUUUAUUUUAGUUAUCAAUUAUUAUAUAGACACAACUAAAAAUAUUUUAUUUAUAUGUUUAUAAAUGUGUAAAUAAAUUUUAUUCAACAAAUUUUCUCUUCAAUCAUUUACAUUCUUACAUCAUUUUAAUAGUAAGAUUUACCAAAUAAAUACGACUACUUUUAGAACUCACAACAUUGUAGCAAAUGGCUAACCAAUUGUUGAAAACGACAAACUAAUAAUUUCCAGAAAGCAUGUUCUACAAAGGGUUGUUAAAAUGAUGAUUCUGAAAAAUAACGAUGAAUCGUUUACUGAAAACGGUGAUUCGAUAAUUUUUAGAUUGUAACUGUGAGCCAUUUAACAAGAACGGAUAGCCAAAAUUUGUUUUGCAAGUCUUUGGAAAUAAACAGCUAACCGAUAACUUCAAACGGUGAACCGAUUAUUUAAAAUCUUAGCUUAACGGUCAUUUGGACUAGUCAAAAUGGUUAGCCGAUAGCAGUUAACGACGAUCCGAUUUCUCCCAGAAAGUCAACAACGGCUUGUUUUCAGCUUCAACUAUAAAAUGACUCAAUCAAAUUCAAAUGAGAGGUGAUCCAAGAGUUAUCAUUGAGCUUGCAACUGAGAAUACAACCUUUAUUGAGCCUUAAACUUAUUCUUGUUUCAUUUAUUCACACUUUGAGAUUUCAUUUGUAAUCAUAUAUAUUGUGUGAGUGAAAAUUUAUUUGUAAUAUUCUUUACUUUGAGUCAUUGUAAGUGUUGGGAUAGACUUGAAUUAAGAGAUUGGGGAUAAUCUCUUAGUGUAAAGGUUUAUUGACACAUUUAAAGUCAAUUGUAAGUGUUCUUGAAGCCUUGGAGGCUUGAUUAGUGGAAUCCUCAAAGCCGACGAGCUUGGAUGCGUGGACGUGGGCAGGGUUGGCCGAACCACGUAAAAAUCUCUGUGUUUGAUUUUCUCUUCCCUUAUCUUUUUUAAUUUUGUGCUUUGAUUGAUUUUAUUAUUAUUGUGUGGUUUUGUUUGUUUAAAGUUUUAGAAACCCAAUUCACCCCCCCCCCCUCUUGGGUUGCCUAACUAGUAUUUCAAACAAAACAAAAACUUGCAAACAUAACAUAAAACUAGUAAAUCAACACUAACUAUAUAUAUAUAUAUAUAUAUAUAUUGGAAAUGAAACAUAAGACUUGUAAAAAGAAUGUAAAAUAUAUAAAUUACUAUAAAAUAGUAAAUUGAUGUAUUAUUGGUAAAUAAAAUGAAAACUUAUAAAUAUAACGUAAAACAAGUAAAUCAACAUUAAAUGUAAAAUAAAACAUAUAGUUUGUACAUUAUGCCUAAAACUUAUGAAUAAAAGGCAAAAUAAGUAAAUUAAUAUAAGAGUUACUGCAAAAAAAAAAAAUCACAAUUGUAAAAUAAAACUCGUUAGAAUGUUUAUUAUCUUAUAUAUUUAUUGAUUUUUUAAUUUAAAUUGAGUAAUGUUAGUUUUGCAAUUAUGUAAUACAUGUGUUGUUUUAUUAAGUAUGAAAUUUAUUAGGGGUGUUUGCGGAUCAGAUUUUACGGAUUUGACAUCAAUCCAUAUCUUAUCCAUGAUUUUAUAGAUUAUAAAUUUUCAAUCCAAUCCAAUUCACGAAUUGGUGAAAUUUAAUCCAAAUUCAAUCAAUACGUCUGCAGAUUAGGUAUGGAUUUGACCCAAUCUAUAUUUAAUCCCCUAUUUUGCGGAUUGGUUUGCAGAUUGAAAAUUUUUAAUUCUGUCCAAUCCACGAACUAACUAAAUAAAAAAUCAAUAUAAAAAUAAUUUUACUACUGGUCAAAUUUAAAAUUAAAUAAGAUUAAAAUAUAUUUAUUGUUUAAAUAAAGCUAAAAAAAAAUUUAAACUUUCAAAAUAUAACACACCAAAAAGAAAAUAAAAAUCAUUUGUUUAGAUCAGUACAUGAAAAAUAACUGUUUAGGAAACUAUAUUUGUUUGUUUAAUUAUUUUUUAUUUUAUAUAUUAUCGGAUAAGAUAUAAUAUAGUGUUAAUGUAACUAUAUUUCAACUUAUUUAUUUACUAGUAAGUACUAAUGCUAUAUUUACAAGUUUUAUUUUUUAAUUAAAUAAAUACUUUUAUUUUUUUACUGAUUCACAUAUUUUUGCGGAUUUACAGAAGUAAAUUCAUAUCCAAUCCACCAAUUGCGGAUUAUCAAAUUUUCAAUUCAAUCCAAUUCAAUCCAUCAAUCUACAGAUCGGAUUUUUACCUAUCGGACAAAUUGAGUGGAUCAUAUUGGAUUCUGAACACCCCCAAAAUUUAUGAUCAAAAUCGAAUUUUGAAAAAAAUUAUUAUUUUAAUAUUUUUCAUAGUUGUUGUAAAAUGAGGUUAUUUUGCAUCUUUCUACACUUCCUCUAGAACAAUCCUAAAUGGUCUUCAAAUACAAGUAAAAAGUUUGAAAUAACAUAAAGUAUGUAUAAUACUCCAAAUUAGAUCUAAUUUUAUUGAUAAAUCAUAUGUAUGUCUAAAAAUAUAAGAAUAUUUUUUUAUUUUGUUUUUACUUGAUCCACAUCAAGAUAAAUAAUUGCGUUUAAUUAACAUGUGUAAUAAAUGGAUAUCGUUAUAGAAGAUGGGGAAAAAAAGUACAAUAAUGCUACAUAUCCCAAAUAUUAAUCCCAAAACUCAUCCCAAGUGAUGUGGCAGCUGACAUGGCAUCCAACUUAUAAAUUUAUUCUAAAUUAAAAUAGACCCCUCUAAAAUACUUUAUUUUAAAGUAAAUCCCUUUUACAACUAAAAGUCUUUUGCUCUAUCGUUUUUGGCCUGGCUGCAAACUGAACGAACAGAGACGAAUAGAGAGAGUAAGUUCAGGGAGAGCAAAGUUUUCGGUUUCUUCUCACUCAUGACAAGUUCGUUCUUUUACCAAACUAUUUUACUAGCACUCAACAAUAUCAUGUAUUUAUUGAUUCCUUUUUGUUUAUUUUUUUAUUAUUUAUCAUGUAUUUACAUUAUUUUUUUGUGAUUGAGAUAGCAUAUUUUGGUCAAAAGAAUAAGAGGACUGAUGGCGGUGUAUAGAUCUGGUAAAAGAUGGUUGUAUUCGAUGGUAUCAUCUCAUCGCUUUCCAAUCUGCUUGGUUAGUCUGUGGCCUUUUGUAUUAUUGCUUUUGUUUUCUAAUUGAUUUUGAUUUUCCUUCCUAAAUACAAAUAAUAAGAAUAAAGAUUUCAUUUUUCGGUUGCUAGAUUUUGUAUUGAAUAAUUUUCUUCCUCUUUAUCAAGUAACUAAAAAGUUUUUAAUUUUUGUGUUUUACACAUAUUACACUUAAAACGUCUUUACUUUUAUUGCAUUAUGCUCUUGUUCAUUUAUUUUGUGUUAAAUAAUCAUGUGUAUUGUAUAAUUUCUCCACUUUUUUUUUUUAUUUAAUGCUAUAAUUUAAUCUAGGUCAUGUUGAAGAUCACUUUUUUUAUUUUGUUUCACCCUGAUUGCUCCAGUGGUUCAGCUUGCGUGUUUUGGAGAAAAAAUUGUCCAGUUAUCGGCAUUAGUUUUUAAUGCCAAAUUGCAGUUCAUAGAGUAGACAGUGAGGAGGUUGCACAAGCUGAAGUGCUCUUUGUGCUAGAAUGGGCAAGAAAGCAGAGUUAUAUGACAGAAAGUUAAUAGAUUUCGUCCAGUGAUUAUUCAUAUUCAAUAGUUAGUAGCAAUUAACAUAGGGAAGAAAAUAAAUUAACAUUGUAAUUUAUUUCAAUGAAACCCAAGAGAAAGGUUUCUUCUGUAAACUCAAUAUGUACUGAAAAUUAAUCUACACUUAAUUAGCUUUGCCAUUCGAAGAGAAAUUUUUCAGCAAUAUUCAUUCGCAUUAUUAUAAAAAAUUGAAGAUGUACUUCAGUCCUAACUAAAAUGUUCACUCUUUUUUUUCUUUUAAAGGAAAAUUCAUUAACUAUAAGAACAUAAAAUCACAAAGACAUAACAUCUGGAUUGUAUUGUUACUAUAAAAUUGCAAUAGCUCAACCUAUAAUCAUCCAUGCAAUUAAAAAUCCAUAAUUCAUCAUAAAUUUCAGAGCAAAAACUGAACCGUGAAAGUAAUUUAACAAUAAUCUAACAUUAUUGUUUGAUAACAUAAUGUUUUCAAAUAAUUCUUGUACUCCAUCUUUUUAUGUUUGGCUUCUUGCUAGAUACUUCAAUCUCUUUACAACUCUCGAGUGACCUGCAUACGUUACAAAGGAUUAGUUAAAAAGAAAAAGCUAAAGAUUUGUAACUAUGAGAAAAGAUAUUAUUUAUUUAUCUAUGUAGUACCCUAAAUAUAAAAAAAAUGACAUCAACCUAAUGACAAUAAGAAUAACAUACUCCUCAUAAUUAUAUACCAAGCAAAAAGAAUAAAAACACAUUACCUGCAUUGGAUUAUCAGAAGUAACCAUUGCAUGAGUGGUGUUGUUCUCCAAUCCAUAUCUUUGUGUUUCACUACUUAUCAUUUGAGAUCCCUUGAAUAAAAUAAUAUGUAGGAAUUAUAAGUAAUGUAUAAUAAAAUAUUUGAUAAGCAUUUUGGAUAAAAUUUAUUAAUUUCAUACCUUGGUCGUUUUCUUUUGCUUUUUUCUCUGAAUAAUUUGCUCGACCUUAGACUGCCUUCGUUUGUAAGGUGGAGGACCUUUACUUCUAACUGCUAGUGGAGAAAGAAUUUUACCAUUAUGACUGCCACGAACCUCCCCAUAUUUUGUUGUGCCAUGAGCUAUAUUACUUCCACGUUGACUAAUUUCACCCCCACCUCCAUUUAGCAUUAGUUUUGCUUUCAAAUAAUCUAAUACCUCCAACACCAUAUUGCAAUUAUUCUCAUUAUUAGUCGCUAGUUCAGCUACAUCAUAAAAAAAGUUGCACAUCUUAUCAAAUCUAAGUCCUUCAGGUUUUAUGCUCCAAUUGUCAUUACUUACUUUCACCUCAGUGUGACAUCUUUUUAUAUCCUUUCUCCAUCGCCUCAAAAUAUACUGUUCUGGAAUAGAAAAUAUUUCUUUAUGAAUAAGCACUGCAAUGAUGUGUCAACAUAAUAUUCCCUUAAACUCAAAUAGUCGACACUUACAAUUAAUCUCACAAUUAACCUCAUUAAAAGAAACUUCAAAAGGGUCACGACGAUGAUUCUCUCCAAUUUUAACAUCUUCAACUACUACAAACUUUGAAGUUAAAAUAUUUGUUUGACAUGAAAAUAUCUCACAAAAGAUUUUUCCUUUUAACUCUUGCUGAAAUUCUCUGAAUUUUUCCAUUGUAUAAGUAUCUCGGAAUUGCUGCUCCAUGGCAUAAUGAGUAACACAAGGGAUAUUAGAAUUCAAAUCAUUAAAAUCGGCAUGAUUUUCUUUUUCCACCUUGUCCCGUAGUGCAUUUCCAUAUUGUUCAACAAAUUAUUUUAGAGGAGUUUUUGAAUUUACAUACCCAUCAAAGAAUGCAUGCAUACUCUCACUGCGUUGUGUUGUAGACAUUCCUGCCCAAAAUAUAUCCUUCACAUAUGCUGGAACCCAAUAUUGCCUCUCAUCAUACAAGUUUUGCAACCAUUCAUUGUUAUUAAGAUUAUAUUUUUCAAUGAACACCAUCCAACGUUCAUCAAAAUCAGAAGGUAUUAAAUAAUCAUAAACAAUAUUCUGCAUAGUCAACUUGAUCACUUCAUAUUUCUUGUAACCUUUCAAUUUUUCUGGAAACUUUUUCAUUAUAUGCCACAAACACCACCUAUGUUGCGCAUGCGGAAAGACAACUUCAAUCGCCUUUUGCAUGGCCUUAUCUUGAUAAGUGAUUAUGGCAUUUGGAGCACAACCAGACAUACAUUUAAGCCAAGAUCGAAAAAGCCAUACAUAUGUGUCAAUGUCCUCGUUAGAAAUCAAACCACAUCCUAAUAAUGUUGAUUGUCCAUGAUGAUUGACCCCAACAAAAGCAGCAAAUGGUAUAUCAUAUUUAUUUGUUAGAUAGGUUGAGUCAAAUGUAAUAACAUCACCAAAUUCUUUAUUCACUGCUCUACUUCUUGCAUCAGCCCAAAAUAAAUUUUUCAACCGAGCAUCUUCAUCUAAAUCCACCAUAUAAAAAAAAUUGGAGUUUCCAUUUUGCAUUUUUAAGAAAUAAUCAAGAACUGCAGAAGCAUCACCAUCCCCAAGCCGUAAGCGCCUUACUUUGUGUAAAUGAUUCCUACAAUCUUUUUCUAGGAAAGUUAAAUUCUCAUGUCCUCCUGCUUCAACCACCAAAGAAUUAAAGCUUUUAUUCGGUCUUAUUCCUGCUUGAUCAUUCAAAUCCAACUUUCUUUGAACAAACAACUUCAUUACCCUGUUGGUUUUCAGAAAACGAGCCUUACUUGGUGUGUUUAACUCAUGAUUAUGCUCAUAUGUAAUGGAUUUGACCUCCCACUUUCUGUCCAAGCAUGUUGUUGCCCUUACUUUAGCCUUACAAUUUGUUUUGGAUGUUGGUUGUAAUUUAAAAGGCUGGUUCGAUAAAGAUUUUGCCUUGCUGCUGCGUGAACAUGAAAAUGUCACAUAUUUUAACUCUCCAUCGUCUCCUUUGCUAGAGGUUCUUUUAAUAAUUUCGAAUCCCAUUAUCUUCGCAUACAUCUUGUAGAACUCAAACAAAUUUUGAGUUGUAUCAAAAACCAUGCCAAUUUUUGGCUCAAUAAUUUCUUCUGCAUUUGGUUCAUUACUUAUAUCGUUCUCGUCAUCAACCUGAUUUAAAUAAAGCAAAAAUAUCCAACUAAUUAAAAUCAUCGUCAAUUAAUACAAAUUAGAAACAUAUUAAUACAAGGUAUAAAAAAAUAAGAAUAAAAAUUAAAAAAUUCACCUCAUCAGUAAUGAUUUCUAGGGAGUUUUCUAUUUCUUUUGACUCCAAAUCCGUCAUCUCAACUGAAGGUUUUGUUCUUCCUAAAGUUCUUGUCUCUGUUCAUUCAGUUUGCAGCCAAGCAAUUCAAAUUCCAUCAAUUCAUUUUUUCUUUUCAAGAAGUGCAGAUUGUUGAGUGCUAAUAAAAUAGUUUGGUAGGAAUUACAAACCUGUCAUGAGUGAGAAGACUUUGUUCUCCCUGAACUUUCUCUCUAAUUUGCAGCCAAGCCAAAAUACGAUAGGACAAACCUGUUCAAUUUGCAGCCAGACCAAAUUUGCAGCCAGGUCGAAAACGAUAGGGCAAAAGACUUUUAGUUGUAAAAGGGAUUUACUUUAAAAUAAAGUAUUUUAGAGGGGUCUAUUUUAAUUUAGAAUAAAUUUAUAAGUUUGAUGCCAUAUCAGCUGCCACAUCACUUGGGAUGAGUUUUGAGAUUAAUAUUUGAGAUAUGUAGCAUUAUUGAAAAAAGUAUACAAAUUUCCUAUAAUAAAUCUAGAAUUUAUGGUAACUAAUUCAAUAAAACUUAUUCCACUCCUACCCCCAACACUCCCCCACCUCCCUCAAAUUCGAACAGCUCAUCCUGACCCUCGCCCACCACAAACGCUACCAGUCCAUGUGGAAGACCAUCGAACUCAUGAAACCCUACAACCUCUCCGUCUCUCCUCAAACUCUAAUACUGUUGAGGUUUUUAAUAAGUGUACCGCUUUCAAUUGUCAGCAGUGUGUUCUUUUGUAUAAUUCAUUGCUGUUUGCUUUGUGUGAAGUCAAGUUGUUUUAUGGUGCUUAUGGUUUGAUUAGGAGGAUGAUUAGAAAAGGGUUUGUCCCUGACAAGUGGACGUACGCGAUUCUUGUUAAUGCUUGGUGUUCUUCUGGGAAAAUGAGCGAGGCACGAGUUUUUGCAGGAGAUGAGUGAUAAAGGGUUCAACCCGCCUGUUCGAGGUCGUGAUUUGUUGGUUCAAGGGUUGUUGAAUGCCGGUUAUUUAGAGUCUGCUAAACAGAUGGUUAAUAAAAUGAUUAAACAAGGGUCUGAUCCGGAUUUGGAAACCUUUAAUUCGUUGAUUGAGACGAUAUGUAAAUCCGGGGAGGUUGAGUUUUGUGUUGAGAUGUAUUAUAGUGUAUGUAAGUUAGGUUCGUGCGCUGAUGUGAGUACGUAUAAGAUUUUGAUUCCAGCAGUUUCAAAGGCGGGUAUGAUUGAUGAGGCUUUUAGAUUGCUGCAUAAUUUGGUUGAGGAUGGUCACAACCCAUUCCCAAGCUUGUAUGCUCCUAUUAUUAAAGGGGCUUUUAGGAGGGGCCAGUUUGAUGAUGCAUUUUGUUUCUUUAGUGAGAUCAAGAUUAAGGGGCAUCCUCCAAAUAGGCCGGUUUAUACAACGUUGAUAACAAUGUGUGGGCGCGGGGGAAGAUUUGUUGAGGCGGCAAAUUAUUUGAUGGAAAUGACUGAGAUGGGGUUGACUCCAAUUUCCAGGUGCUUUGAUUUGGUUACUGAUGGGCUGAAGAAUUGUGGGAAGCAUGAUUUGGCUGAGAAGAUAGAGCAGUUAGAGGUAUCCCUUCGGUCUGUUUGAUGCAUGUCAAUUAGCAGUUGAAGACGAUUCUUUAAAAGAAUUUGCAUGAAUCGAAAAGAAUGCUUUUAGAUCUCCGCGUUUCCACUCCAGAAUGAUGUGAGUUCUUCAUAUGAGAAGUUAGCUACUUGUUGAAUUUCAGGUUCCAUUUGUUUUUGGCACGUCAGUAUUGUUAAUAAAUUCUUGUUAAUAUGUUUGUCAAGUUGUUCAAUUUAUUUAGUAUUACAGCAUCCCGUAGAUUGUUGCCUUUUUUCCAUGAAAUAUUUGUUCAAUUUAUUUAGUACUUUAGUCUCAAUGAAGCAUGUUGGGGAAUUAAUGUAGAAAUAGGGGUCUUGGUUGUUUUUUCAAUUAUGUGGAUGAAGCUUUGACUUAGGAACCACUACUGUAGUCUAAAGAAUAUCGUUUUCUUCUAUAUCGAUGUGAUUAACUGGGUGAUUUUUGUCAAAGGUGUUUGAAAGUUUUCUGUUGCUGAAAUCUUUCGGUUUAUUUGUUGCAUGAAGCAUGUUGGCGAAUCAAUGUAGAAACAGGAAUCUUGAUUCUUUCUUUAAUUAUGUGGAUGAAGCUUUGAUCUAGGAACUUCUUCUCUAGUCUUAAUAAUAUUAUCUUCUUCUAUAUGGUUAUGAUUAACUGGGUGAUCUUUGUCAAAGGUGUCUGAAAGUUUUCUGUUUCUGAAAUCUUUCGGUUUUAUUUGUUGCAGAUGACAACCUCUAUUUAUUCCUAUGCCCAAACAUGAAACAACUUCGGGUAGUUAGGAAAAAUAUUUUUGUGAGACUAAAAUCCAUAAAUAUAUGGAGCAUCACCUCUGUAUUUGGAGAGCCGUGAGAGAUCAACUAGUCAGAGGUUAAAAGGGUUUGGGAUCCUGUUACAAUGUUUUUAGGUUUUGUUUGGGAAAUUGUGCAGUUUCAACUUGGUUAUUUAGCUUUGCUUCUUCGGUUAUCUGCUACUCUGUGUACGUGGGUUGCUUAUUUAUAAGCACUUCUCAUUGCUUCAUUUCUAAUAUAGAAUGAACCCAAAAUUAUGUAUGAUAGAACCAAUGUUACAAAGAUAGUUCUGGCCUGUUUUGGAGAGGUGGUGCCAAUUUUAGUUCUUAUUUUAUUUGCUUACAAUGAUUUUUGGACUUCUGUUUUAUGGGAGAAAUCCACAAAGGCAGUCUUUUGAAACAGCAAUUGCAUACUCGUGGCGUGAAUGCAGUGACGUCUCUUCAGUAUUUUCACAUCUUUUUAUGCCAUAACCGAGAAAGAGCUUACUGGACCGAAGACCAUGGUGUCGCUCAAAUAUUGUCUUAGAAUUCCUACUAUUGACUUGUAUAUAAACCCACUUUUGGCUGGUGAAGAGUUAAAAGGAGAAUGUACUAGACUCGCAUAUAAAUUAUAAAUUAUAAGCUUUGUCGGAAUCUACGUUCUUUUGGCUUUUGGUCGUUUUCCACCCCAGCACGCCGUUAUUUAUUUUUAAGAAACAAUGGUCACUGUGAUUGUUGUCUUUUCUGGCUUUGUCUAGUGUUUUUCAGAGUAAUAAAUAGUUUGAUUGAUGGACUGUUGGACUGUUGGACUUGGUAUUGGAAUUUGGAUUGACGCGGGAUUAGGAUUCUCUCGUGACGCAAAGGCUGUUGGCUCGGAGAAAUGAUUACUUUGAACAUUUUUCGCAUGCAUGCAUUCUAUGAUUUUUCAUUUGCUUGACUUUGUUGUUCAUCCAAAUGAAAUCAAAUACUCAUUUGGUAUGAUAGAAUCAAUGGGCAAUCAUUUUUAUGUUAAGCUUAAAAAAUAGGUUAUCUUUGCAUAACUAUAUUUUUAUAGUUUCUGUUUCUGUGCUUUGUGCUUUCAACUACCGAUGAUGAACCGCCUACUACUUCAUAACAAUGUAUGUUAUACUGACAAUAUUUUCCGUGGCUCCUUUCAUUUAUUUAUUUAUUUAUUAAAAUUGAUAUUUUUUUUAUCUUUUCGUUUUCGACAAGGAAGGUAAUUGAGAUGUUUAACGAAGGGAUGAUGUUUUCCUUUAAAAGAAUAAAUAAAUAAAUAAAAGACAAAAUUUUAUGCCAUGGGGACAAAAUGCCACAUGAGGAGAAAUGCACGCCACUAAAUUUGGGAUAAUAAUUUAAUUUGAAUUGACAUCUAAAACAGUUGUAGGCUAACCAAUAUUUCUACAAAAAAAAAAAAAAAAAAUUCAGAGUUAUUGGUAGCGUUUUGUCUUUAAUUUUCUGAACUCUGCGCAGCUGGUGUAAUAGUCUUUGUUGCUCUUCUCUUUGCGGCUAAGGAGCCUAGAGAGAUGGAGUGAAGCUGAGCACGAACUAGGAAAGUGGAAAUGUUGAGCGUUAACAUACGUUGUGGGUGAUUUGGUACUCUCACUCCUUAAAAGAGAUCAGAUGUUUAAAUCUCGUUCUCGUAUGAAGUCACCACUUGGACCAGCACUAUACCCUUUACGGACCGAUCCGGUGCGAGCGGAGAUUAGUAUGGGUUGUGGUACAGGCUUAAAAGUGCCUCCAUAAUUGAGACCCACUCAGGACCACCUUGUAGUUCAAAAAAAAAAAAAAUACGACUACAAUCUAUAUCUCAUGGUCCCAAAACAUCCUACCAAUCAAUGCAAUUAUCAAAAAUGAGAUUCACACCACAUUCAGCACUACAAAUAGCACCGAACGGUGCAUUUUGAGGUAACUAUAAAUCACCACUGAAUCGACAAUUGCAACAUACACUGUUCACAACACGCUCUUUCGCUCUCUCCAUCACACACCGCAAAUCUCACCAAGCCACCAAUAUCACCACGCUCCGUUCUUCCUCGGCAGGCUCCGUUCUUACCGUCGGCUCUCGCUCUCUCUCUCCCCUUCAAAUCCAGCAGCGUGGGUCACUUUCUCUCUCUCCCCUCCAAGUCCACUAGUCGUGGGCACUCUCUCUCUCCCUUCCAAGUCCACUAGUCGUGGGUCACUCUCUCUUCCCACUAAAUCUAGCAACCGCAGGUCACUCUCUCUGUCUCCCCUCCAAAAUCCAGCAGCGUGGGUCACACUCUCUCUCCCCCUCCAAACCCAACGGCCGUGAGUCACUCUCUCCCUCCUUCAAAUCCAGCAGCCAGGGUCACUCUUUUUUCCUCCGAAAUCCACAGCAGCCGUGGGUCACAGCUGCCAUUGUGUCGUUGUCGACAGCUGUCGUAAUCGACUUCUGAAGGUAAUUUGCUUCCUUAGAAUAUCCUUAUUUUAAUAAUUUACUAGUUAGAAACUUAAAGUAUAACCAGGUAUUUUCCUACACUAAUUUUUUAUGCACCAGUGUAAAUAGCUAUCUCAAUUCUGUAUUCUGAGUAAAAUGCUGGAUCUAAGAUAUUAUUUGCUUUUGUGGUGAAAAUUUGGCUGCCAGAAGAAGCAACAAUCAUUAAACUUAAUGAGCCAAUGUCAUUGACUUUUGCUCUGAGAUACAUGAAUUCAUUCACAAGGGCUACACCAUUGUCGAAUACUGUUACUACCAGCCUGUCUUCAGAACUGCCUGUUGUGGUCGAGUAAAAGAUUGCUGAGAUGGGUUAUAUUAGAUUCUACUUGGCUCCCAAUACAGAAGAAGAUGAGGAUGAGACCAAGCCUCUAGCUUAAGUGUCAUUUGGCACAUAGGCUAUGGCAUUUUUUUGAAUCAAAUUACUCCUAUAUUUUAAGUUUGCUUUUAGAAUAUUUCUCGUAAAUUUUCAUGUUGAAAAACCAAGCAUUUAGUUCAGUAGAUUGAUAAAAAUUCAUUUCUUGUGCUUGCCUUUUUUAUCUUAGUACUGUUCUACAUGUAAUUGAUUCAUUUGGCUUUGUUGCUUUGAAAUGUAGGCUUUAAUUGAGUUGAAAUUUUCAGAAAUUUAUCAAAAAUGAACCAUAAACAAAAACUUCAGAUUGUUUGCUUAUUAUAACAAUGGCAAAGUUAUAGAAGAUAGCAUUAUAUUGGGUGACAAAAUGUUCUUAUGGAUGAUCCUGAUUAAAUUGUGUAUUUCACAAUGUAAUUACUUGUUGAUCAAUUUAAUUGAAUUGAUUAACACAUUGGUUUGAGUUUUAAUACUACUGCUCAGUUUUUGGGUUAAUCGAAGAUUGCAAUUUUGCAGGAACUGGUAAAUUGGACACGAUAACAAAAAACUCUCACGUAUUACCGAAAUGAUAGCUGUGAUACUUCAGCCCUUAUGAAUAGUACACAAUGGUUGCAAGCAAAUUAAUUAAUUCAUAACUUGUAAAUAAAUAAACCCAAAAAAAAAAUUAAAUGAUGGAUAAUAUGAAGGAAUCAAAUCCAGAUUUUUCCUGCAACAAACUUCCCGGAAACAAAAUUUGGUGAUAUUCCUCAAACUGAGAACACAACCUAGUGCUAUUUCCUUUGUUUGAGGUUUCUUUGUUUUUCAACAUUGAUCUAGCUAUCUUGUUGCUUUUGUUAAUGUGGACAAAACAAAUUAAUAGUGUUUAAAUUAAUUCCUACAUAUGUAUUGGCGAAAAUCAUUUGCUCUGUUUCUUGGCUUCAUUGUAGAGGACGACCCCAAUUAUGGUGAGAGUCCAGCCAGACAUCCCAGUUAUAGAUACCGGAUUUCUGAAUAUAUGAAUUGAUACAACCACUGCAAUAGCUCCUUUUGCAGUUCCAAGAACCUGAAAGCCAAACGCACUUGGUAUGUCUUAAAAUGAUGUACUUGAUUGAACUAAAUUCACAAAAAUAUUACUUAAAGAGUUAAGGCAUUGGCGUUCUUAGUGACCAAAAAAUUGGUCAAAAUGACAAAAUAUGCAAGGAAUUGAAGAUCAGAUACCAUAAGAACUCCACAUCUUGUUUAGCAAGUGCAAUUGUGAUUCCAACUACAACGUUUUCCAUUAUUAGUACAGCAGGAAGAAGGGACAUAGCAGCUACUGGAGCCAUGUCCAUGAGAAGGUUCAUAGAAUUAAACGUUUCUUUGAGACAUCAACCAAAGUACAGAAUAGGUAACAAAAGUACAAGUGAAAAAUGUUCAGAUUUCAAGUAGGUAAGCUCAAAGAAAUCUGAUAUACUUUAGAGGAGAGCAAAAUCCUUUGUAGGACUGUCUGAAGUGCCCAAGCUGGGAUGUCUGGCUAUAAGUCUUACCCCACUGGCAAUAAUAACGCCAGUAACAACAGGAAUAAAGGUCACAUAAGUAAGCCAGCCCUCCCUCUUGAGGGUCAUCAAAUGAGCAAAAACCGCUGUGAAAAACGGCGUUGUAGCCCACACAGCCUGAUUAAACAACACUGGGAGAGUGAAGCUGCUAGUCAAAUUUUUGAGACAGCUGAGAGAGUGAGGUGUCAUGAGAGAUGCAAUUGACGGAGAAGAGAGAGAGGAAGCCGAUGGUGAGAAUGGUGUGGAAGAGUGGAGCAUGGUGAGAUUGGUGGCUUCGUGAGAUUUGUGGUGCGAGGGAGAGAGGGACAGAGCGUGUGUGUUAUGAACGGUGCGUGUGUGUUGUAAUUGUCAAUCCACAGUGACAAUUUAUACUUACCUUAAAACACGCUGUACGGCGCCAUCUGUGGUGCUAAAUGUUGUGUGAAUAUCGUUAUUAAUGUAAUUAUAGUUACCAAGCCUAAAAAAUUAUUGCUUUUGCUUAGUCACGGCUGGUUGUAAGUUAUUCUCUAUACAAAAAUAUGCAAAAAGUAGUUACAGGACGGUGGACCCACUUAAUUUUUAUAUGGACGGUAAGUAACACAAAUUAUAAUUUAGCAAAACUAAAAAAUUAUAGGAAAGAAAGAAUUUUUUUUUUUUUUUUUAGCUAAAUGAUUAGAAUACAUUUACUCAUAAUUACCAAAGCAGAAAUUAAGUGAUAAUUAAGGGCUGGUGAAACAUUUAAUUUCAAACCACUAAAUUUGAGAGCUACAACAAUAAGAGAAGUUAAGUAACAAUUAAGUGCUUAUAAACGAUAACUUUUACUAUAGGUAAAGGACUUAUGUAUUCAAUAACUAACCAAGAGCUCAAGGUCAUCUCAUAUGAAUAACGCUGUUGUGUGAGAGGGAUUAUAAUUGCGUGAGAAAUGACCCCUGAUGAAUUUGGACAACCAGUAGAAAUUAGAAUUUAAAUUUUUUUUAUUUUUAAUUUUUUCCAAUAUUUCAAUGUUAUUCUCAGACAUUUAAUUAAACUUAAAUAAAUCUUAAGAACAUAUAAAAACAUGUUUUUGUAAUAGGCCUAAAACGAAACUUUAGAAAAUACAUUUUUAUGUUAAUUUCUUUUAAUUAUUUAUCUGUUACAUACAAAUAUGAUAUGAAUGUGAGAUAAACUCUUUCAUAAAUUUUGUGUUUGACAAGACCAAACCAAAACUUUCACGAAAUAAAUAAUUAAUUAGUUAAUCCAAAACUACUCUGGUUAAUGUGUUACAUGUAGAAUGUGUUUGAAUAAAUUAAUUUAUAAUAAUUUUAAACAAAAUAAAUUUAGUCUAUUUAUAUUUCACUCGUAAAUGGGAGUUCUUUUCACUCUUCGGCUUCUAGACUCUUGCAAUUUAGGGUUAUCACUAUUACUACUACUACUACUACUACUACUACUACUACUACUAUUAUUAUUAUUAUUAUUAUUAUUAUUAUUAUUAUUAUUAUUGUUCUUGGUCAUAAUUUUAAAAUUUGUUGGGAAAUCUAUGGAAUUAUAUAUCAAACAUCUAAAUUAAUAAUAUGUAUGAAAUAAAUUGCAUCCCACACAAAUAUAAAUAAUAAUUUUACUUGAAUUAAACACACAAAUCCUAUAUUAUAAUAUUAGGCGUAAGAAAACUUACACACUCGACCAUUUUAUUAUAAUUUGGACUUACUGAAGUAUACUAUUCACUCAGAUUUAUCAACCAUAUAUAAGUCACUUUAUUAAACCAUGAUUAUUGUAAAAUAAAAAAAUUUUUGUCUUUCAAUUGUAAAUGGACGAACUGUUUAUACUCGACCUUUAUAUAAUUGUAUAAAUAUUAACCUUUGUAUAACUCAAAAUUAUAGUUUAUUCUAUCAAUCUUAAUAAAUUGGAAGUAGAUGAUUUUGAUUUGCAAAUGUUUUCGCUUCCAUAUUUGUAACUAUUUUGAUUUUAAAAAUUCAAUAAACAAAUAAAGUUGACCGAAGUAUUCUCUAAAUGCCGACCAUUUUAAUUAACAAAACUUAAAAACUUUUAAGGAGAAUUGGGCCAGCAGUAAAUCCUUGAUUAUAUGUAAACUGAUAACCUUCAAAAACCAUUUAAAUUGGCUUUCUUAACCCAAAAGUAUUCUAAUCCAAUGUUUGCUAUAUGAUUUCGAACCAAGUUCGAUUUAUUCAAUUCACAAUUAAAUGACGAAGAGAAUAUUUUAAUGAGUUCAAAUAGUUUUACUUUAUUAAUAACUUAGUAGAAACCUAAUGAAAGUGAGAAUAUUGGAAUCUUUGACUCUCUUUGUAUUUGAGAGUAUUUUUGCUUUUUUAUUUAUUGUUUUAGAUUUCAAUGCUAUAUUUAUUUGGUUUAUUAAAAAAAGAAAAUGCUCCUUCAAAACAUUUCAUAAAUUCUCUGCGAGUUACAUGAGAACUACGACAUUCAUUAUUUUUAUAUAUGCAGAUACAAGUUUUUUUUUUUUUUUUGAAUGAUAUAUGCAGAUACAAGUUGAUCGUUAUUACAUUUUCCAUAUAUAUAUAUAUAUAGUUGUUUUCUGGUUAUGCCUUUAAAAUCAUGCCGUUUUAAAGUUUUCCUAGAUUAUCCCGCACUUUAAAAUUUCGGAUUGGAAUAUUUCUCUCUCUCUAUAUAUGUGUGUGUGUGUGUGUAUUUGAAGUUUUUUGGUCCGAAAUUUUAAAAUACGGGAAAGUUGGAGAAAGAUAUUAAAUCCCACGGUCUAAGAGCAUUAUGAAAUUAUACCCUCAAACAAUACGAUUUAAGAGAUUUCUCAAACUUUCCUAUACUUUAAAAUCCUUGAUUGGAACAUAUAUAUAUAUAUAUAUAUAUAGUAACUAAACUAUGUCUCCAGGCAACUAGUUAGCCUUGAACUUUGAUUGAGGAGCUUUCACUACAUAUGGAUCAAGUUGGAAUGCCCUAGCGAAAGCAUAAGGAUCAAUUGGUGGAGUAGAUCCGAAGAUUGCAUCUGCAAUUGUAAUAACACCAGGAUUCUAGUUGCUCAAAGCAGCAGUGGCAAACGGCACUGCUUGGUCCAAUAUUCGCUUGGAAAUGAAUGAGCCCAAUUGGAAACACAAACACGUCUCCUUUGUUCAGGGCUCUGGCGAAGAGCGUGUUAUUUAGCUGGUUUGAUGUCACAAAACCAACAUAGAGAGUGCCCUCCAGGACUACUAGGAUUUCUCUAGCACAAGGGUGAGUGUGAGGUAUGUUUGGCCGCCGUUUGCCACGUAGUCGAUACGAACUACGGAUAUGCCGAGUAGUGCUGAGCCCUCGAAUCUGUUCUAUAUUUACAGUCGUGACUGUUGAGCCAACUUGCUUUGUUGUGCUUUUAGGGAUAUUGUGCCCUGAAAAUCAAUCAAAACUACUUGUUAAAAAGAUUCUGUUUCGUUUUUAACUUUUUUCGUGUCUUUUACUAUUUUACCCCCAUAAUUAGACUUUUGAUACACAAAGGUCAACAAUUAAUCAAUAAAAGGAAAAAAUUAAUCAUAAGUCUGAUUUUCAUGGUAAAAUAAAAAAAUAGACAAAAAAUUAGAAAGUUCCUGUACUCAUUUUAAUGCCAAAGAGUAGUAAUGAGUUUUGAAACAUAAGGAGAGAAAUAAUAGAUCUACUUGAACAAUAGGAGGAUUUUGAUCAUUUUCCCACUUAUAUACAGAAAAACGAUACACAUCACAUGUCUUGAACUUGAAAUCAUUGAUGUCAACACAACCAAGAGGACAGAAGCUACAAGAAAUUGAACUCCUUUCAUGUUGAUUACUCUAGGUAUGUGUCAAUAGGGCAUAAGUAGCCUUUCAUAGUCGGAUUGAAUUAUAAAGAUGCGAAGACUUACCAAGUUUAUUGGUUCUUUUUUUUUUUCAUGCUUUAUAAAUGAAGAUUAGUGAGUUCUCCAUGAGACUAUCCUUAGAUAUUUAUUUUUUUAAUUUGAUAAUGUUCAACGGAUAAUUUUUUAAUUCUGUAUUUGUUGUAAGUGCUUAUUUUUCGUACAUCUAAUCUUCAUAUGUCGGCUGCUGCUAGUGUAUAUCGACUAGACUGACACCACUACUAGAAAUUGUUUAUGAUCAAUGUAAAUAAAAAAGUGGUGUUUUGUUAAUAUUGGGGACUGUGGUCGUUCCGUUCAAAUAAUCUUCUAAACUUAAAAUGUCGUUUGAUGAACCAUAUAUAUGUCACAUAGAUUUACUCAUUUAUAAUAUUUUAUAUAGCACACAGUACAUGGAACAAGAAUGUGUGGAUAGUCUAUCUCGAAUGAUCUAUCUCUAUGUCAUAAAUUAAUCUUCAAUCUGAAAAUGUACAUAUGCACUCCUAAGAUAUUAAAAAACGUUUCAACAUAUUUUCAUACUUAUAUGAUCAUAUCAUUUUUUUUUCCUUCCAAGUGGGAAAAUAUUUCAUGGUCUUGGAUAGACAUCCACCCUCUUUGUGGUGUGCAUGAGUCUAUUAUUUUUAGCAAUCUAGGGAAGGAUGAUGGAUGAGGAGAAAAAGAUUAUUUAUGAAUUGACUUCUGUAAUACUGAUAUAGUCACAAAUUUAAAGAAGUAACGUUACCCAAACAAAGUCUGUACCUCAACAAACAUGAGACCAUUUAAUUCAAAUCUACCACAUGAUUAUGUGAAAUGAUAGUUAAUAAUUCAAAUAUUAUAAAUAUACUAGAUGAUUUUAAAUGUCAUGUCAAUUUAUCUCUAACUACAUAAGUAAAAUAUUAUUGUUUGAUGAGAUAUGUUGAUAUAUAUAUAAUUUUCUACCUACUCAUAGUUUACGUUCCUCGACAAAGUGUUCGGAUCUUUCUUUUUUUAAUUUUUUUUUUUUUUUUGUGGCAAAAUUGUGAAAACAAAAUAAAAGAGAUGUUCAUGGUCAAAAAUUCUUUCAGCAAGGAUAAUCUGGUCAUCAGCAUCAGCUGUUUAAUAGAGAAGGUUAUAAAAAACCAAAAGCAAAGUUUUUGAAAACUAGAUAGGUCGUACAGGGAUAUUGACAUGGCUUGAAAGUAUGUUAAUGCUUCUUUUUCUUUUCUUCUCGUUAUAAGCACACAACGACAUAAUUAAUUGAUUGAUGAAAAAUCGAUGCUUUAAAGCGACUGAAGCUUUAGUAGUCCCAGCAAAAAAUUUAAACAAAGUCAGUACAUCAAAUUUUCAUUGAUUGCACCUUUUUUUGGCCAAAAUAACUCCAACAAGUAAGAACCCUCUCAGUCAAAAUUGUAAAUCACUGUAAUAAAAAAUUUUAAAGUCCUAUGUUAUAUUCUCCGUACAAGAAAUUUUAAAAUACAUUAAAGGAAAUUCAACUAAUUGACAUUUGUAUAAUAUGUAUGUUAAAUUUUAUAUAAUUACACUUGUAUAGUAAUUUUUCAAAAUAAAUUUACAUAUGGCAUAAUUUCAUUUAUUUGUUGUAUGAUUGAUAUAAUAUUUUAAAAGUACUUUAAAUUUUCUCUCUCCAUAGGGUUUUAAUUUUUUAGUAGCUUUAUUAUUUGACAAGCCAUCUGAAGCAGCUUUUUUUUCUCGUAUUAUAUGUUUCCGUAAGAGAAAUCUGAACUUUUUUUUUUUUGCUCUUUUUAAACAGUUUUAGUUUAAAUAAAAGUGUUGAAUUUUUAAUUCGAAUUCAUGACUAGUUUGAGUGCUUUUGGCUAGGGGUGGGCACGGUUCGGUUCGGAUCGAAAUUAAGUACAACCGAUUUAAAUCGGUUAUUUUAUAAAAAGAACCGAAUAAGAACCGAACUCAAUAAGAACCGAACUCAAACGGAUCUUUUCGGAUCGGUUCGGUUUUUUCGGUUCUGAGCCUAUUAGGCCUAUUUUGAAUUUUCAAAUUUUUAGCCCAUUGGGCCUUAUAAAUGUAAUAAUUUUUUUCAACAAUUAGUUCAUCCUAAUUUCAUUACAAAUAUUAACAAUAAAUACAAAGUAUUCAAAGCACAUUUUAUCACUAAUAUCUUACUAACUACUAAUAAGGUACUCACAAAAUAUAAAAUAUUAAAAUUUCAAAAUACAUAACCAAACUCCAAUACUCCAUCUACAUAAACAUAAUCAUAAUGUUGUAAAGACAAAUAAAAAUAACAACAAUUACAACUUACAACACAAAAUAAAAAGAAAAUUUAGAAACAAACGCCAACAACAUUCUCCCAUCUUCAUCAAUAUCAACAUCAACUUUAGGCAUUUUCCAACUCAAUAUUUGGAUCUAUAAAAAAAAUUUAACACAUGUCGAUUUGAAUAAAAUCUAAAAUUAAUUCGGUUUUUCGGUUUGGUUUUUCGGUUCAGCUGAGUGAACCGAAUACCGAACCGAUAUUUCGGUUUUUUUACAAAUGAUAUAUUUCAGUUUUUAAAAAAAUAAAAACCGAUCCGAAUUAGAAAAAACCGCUAGUUCGGUUCGGUAUUUUUAAGACCACGGUUUUUUUGCCCACCCCUACUUUUGGCAAGAAAGUUUGUUAUGCGUAGCGCACACUAACGGAAGUUAGUUACGGCAGUUGCUGCUUUGACUUUUGGUUGACCUAAGCUGUUAUAUAGGCUGAUAAGCAUAGUAGGUUCAGGAGCUUGUAGUUAAUUCAUUUCUCUGAGUUAUAAAACACUUGAUGACUCAUCAGAAAUCUGAUUGUAAUCUCUUUAAAUAUGAACCCUUUACUCUUAAUGAAAAAGAGCUUGAAGAUGGCUUACUGUGCAUAAACAUUGGUGGUUAGUGUUGAUAAUUUACGUGUGUGCUCUGCAUUCUGCUUGCUAGUUGUGUUUGUCUUGAUUAUUGGGGCAAAUUUUUGUUGCUAGUUGUGUUUGUCUCAAUUAUUGGGGCAAAUUUUGGUUGUGUUAGGAAAUUGAUGGGUGAAAUAGACACAUAACUAAAAUGAAAUUGAGAAACAAUGAUCACAUAGGGACACUAAGAUUUACAUGAUUCAACUUUUAGCCUACAUCCAUGGUGUUGUGCAAAUUUUAUUGAACUCGCAAGCGCAAAAAUUUAUUGUAGUAUAAAUUUAUAGUGACGAGUGUCGAUCCCAUAAGGAGGUAGAUUUAAUCAUAUGUAGGGUUAAUUUUCCAAGUUCAUAUGUGUAUUGCUUAGAAGUAAUUUCUUUAUCUUAAGAUUUAAAAUAAAAUGACAGGAAUGAAUUAAAGAUGAAACUAUACAAAUGAAGUGCUUAAGUUUUUAGAUUCACACUCAACACUUCACUAUGGACUUACUAUUCUUUUUUUUAGUUCCAAUUAAUAUAUGAGGGGUAUUUCCACUCCUCAUAAGCCUCAUUCUAAUAAAUAUAGUAUCAAGCACUCAUUCUUACUACUUACUAGAACGAAACCCUUAUUUAUAGGCUUCACGUUCCCUCUUCCUCUAAUUUUUUUUUUUUUUUAAUAAAAGACUUAGUGGAUGUUGAAAGUUACACUAAUAAUAUGCUACUUACUCAUAUCUCCCAGUUACUCAACAAAUUAUGCCAAAAGUCAGAAUGUUGCAUGAUAACCACAUGCAAUUACUUGCUACAUGCAUGCAUAUGUUCGACAUUAUGUGUCUUUGCUCUUAUCAAGCGACAUCAGCAGGUCAUCUAUCAAUUGAUCUUGGGGCUUAAUAUAAUCUGUUUCACAUCAGAUUUUGCAUAACAAAAGUAACGAAGAGAUUAAUUAGAAUAAAUAAAUAUAUAUGUGUGUGAAUGUACCGACAAAAUAUAUGUGUAAGGAGAGGCAUGGGAAAGGCUUGGCUGCUAAAUAAAAACAACAAUAAAUUAUGUUUAUUACAUGGCUACAAUCAGCCUGGAGAGAGGUUCAUCAGAGACCUCUUUUAUUACAUUAAGAUAUGAUAAUCUGGAGUUAAAACAAUAAAGCCACUAGUGAAGAGGCCAUUUAUAUUAAAGCUCAUUAAUUCCUUCUCCUAAUUGCCAUUAAUGAACUUAUGCUGAAGAUCUAUCACUGUCUUUGGAUCCAACUGGAAUGCCUUGGCAAGAAAAUCGGGAUUGAUUGGAGGAUUAGCUCCAAAGACCGCGUCGGCUAUGGUAAUUUCACCCGGGAACUGGCUGUUUAGAGCAGAAUAGGCAACUGCAUUUGUUUUUCCAACGUUGAAUUGGAAGUGAAUCAAACCUUUUGGAAACACAAAAGCAUCUCCCUUAUUCAGAACUUUUGCGAUGAGUUUGUUAUUUAGCUGGUCUGAUGUCACAAAACCGACAUGAAGAGUUCCUUCCAGGACCAGCAGGAUUUCACUGGCACGGGGGUGAAUAUGAGGUGGCCUUUGGCCGUAUGGCGCAUAGUCAAUGCGGAAUGCUGAUAUGCCAAGGGUGUUGAGGCCUGGAAUUUGCUCAACAUUUGCAUCUGUUUCAUCAACACCAAGUCGAUUUGCUGUGUUUCCAGGCUUGUCUAGCCCUGAGAAGAAGAAAUCAUCUGCUCUCGCAAGCUUGGGGUCCUUGCAGAACUUCCCAUUCACAAACACUACAAGAACACACACACAUACACACACAAAGGGGGAAAAAAAGAAUAAUUAAGUAGCAGCACAAAUUAUAUUGAAAUUUAUAUGUUUCGUUAGUUCAGCUUACGUACCACCAUCCUUCGGGUCCUCGAUGGCUACACAGAUAUCUUGUAGAGGGCUAGGGUCAGAGGCAGAGGCCAAAGAAGAAGCCAAAGCCAAGAGAGCAAAACCUAUAAGAAAUUGAAUUGCCUUCAUGGUGAUUAAUUAACAGGAUGUACCUAUCUCAAACUUUAAUCAAGUGUUGUGAUUUGAGAAUAUUGCGAGGCAAACUAGACUAUUUAUAGAACGGAGUCCGUGAACGAGUUUGCGUGUUCAAUUAAUUAGUCCUCGAAGCCGGUCAAGAUUACUGAGUUCUCAUUGGUUAUCUUUGUAAUGUUUCUCAGCCUUCAUUUUCAUUUUUGUUUUCAAAAUUUACACAUCUUAAAUAUAAAUUGUAAAACGUACAAAACAAAGUCUGGCUGACAGUGAUAAAACCCAGACAGGUUAGACACGUUUCCGCCAAUCUUCAAAGCGAACCAUAAAAUACGAUAAGAAACAAUAUUUUAACGCGUUUUCCAAAGCUUAAUUUAAAUAUAAUUUUUUCAUUGGAAAGAAACGAGUUGAAGAAUUUAUGAAAAUGGGUGAGAAAGAAAUUCAUGUCUCUAGCAACAGACUAACAGUUCGGAGUCAUGUUCUGUAGAUGUCGAUGUUACCGGACUUGAUUGGUUUGUUGUUGGACUUAAUGAAGAAGCAUUAUUAGCCUUUUUUUUUUCUUUUUCAUAGCAAUUUUCGUAGCUGCUUUAACCAUUUUUAGUUCUAUCAAUGCUUUACCGAGUCAAUGAUGCACAUGUUUUUUUCAUUACAUGUUAAAGUCACAAAUCAUCUGCUUCAAGAAAAAACGUGAAGACUAUGAUCAGGAGGAACCAAAAGUCUUCUAUCUUAUUUUCAGUGGUCACGUUAAUUAGAAGCUGGAGUCGGCACGUUUUGUUAGAGAUAGUGAAAUCCUUUUACAGUGUCAAUUGAUAUAUAUCAUUUCAACUUUAAAAGUUAAUUUUAAUAUUUGAUAAUUUUUUUUAAAAUCGCUUUUAGUAAAAUCAUGUAGAUCUUGAAAAGUAAAAAAAGAUUAGUUUUUUAAAAUUUGAUUUCGAUGAUCACUUUUAUACUUAAUACAAUUUCAUAUAUAUCCUUAUGUAUAAGAAAAAUCCAAAAUCAUCCUCAUUAAUUAGAAAAUAAAAUUAUUAAUUUGAAAGAGAUUAUUUGUAUUACCAAUUAUAUUGAGAUAACAAGAUAAAAAUAAAAUUAAUAAUGUAAAUAUUUAUUUUAGUUAUCAAUUUUUAUAUAUACACACCUAAAAAUAUUUUAUUUACAUGUUUAUAAAUUUGUAAAUAAAUUUUAUCCAACAAAUGUUCACUUUAAUCAUUUACAUUCUUACAACAUUUUAACAGUAAGAUUUACCAAAUACAUACGACUACUUUUAAAACCCACACACUUUUAAAAAUAAAUUUUACUGAACGUUUAAUUGGUUCUCUAUUAUAGCUGAUUAUUUCUACAGUAUGACUAACAGUAAUUAUUUUACAAGUUAUAACAUUAUUAAACUAGCCCAUAGUGACUCAAUUGAUUAAAACUAAGUCAAUUAAAUCACUAAGUUAGGAAAACAAACCGCCCUUUAGUAAAUUUCUUAAUGUAAAUAUUAGUAAAUUAUGAUGGAAAUAAAAAUAAUAAUCUCUUCCUUUGUUCACCUUUUAAUUAAAAUCCGUUUCAUUAGCUAUUUUGAAUAACAAACUGAAUUGAUCACGAAAUAAUAAUCUCUUUUUCCAAUCAUAAUCAUUUGUAAGGACAUUAAUUAUGUAUUUUUAAUGGGUUCAUAUGUUAAUUAUAUUGUAUACCGUUUGUCAACCAAACUGGCAACCAUUUUAUUGGUUAAAAUUCAUUCAUAUCAGUAUUUAAGAUACGCAUCACUUUCUAGCAACAAUGCGUCAAUGUUAUAUAUGUUCCCGUUCAAACUUUCCACUUGCUGCUUCACCCAUGUAAGUUAUGAAAAAGUUGCUGAGAAAAUGAAAAAAUAAACCAUGGCCAUGAAAAUAAUAAAACGCCGCCAGCCGUUUAGUAUAAUUCUAGGAGCGAUUUAUCAUUUCUUUUUCCUUUUUGCUUUUUAUUUCAACAAUUUAUUAUUGACUAGUGUAUUGCAGGCUUGCAUCAAUGAAGUGUUUGGAUCAUUUAUCCCCUUUUUUUCAAAUAUAAUUCAGAUAUAAUUCUAGAUUAUGCUGGUAGAAACAUCGUCUCAAAGAUUCUAUUGGGUCAUCAAUAGCUGUAUAUGAGUAUAUCUUGAAGAGGGCUACUUUUUCUAGGAUAUGCUGCUAGAAAAUUUUGCAACACGUAACCACUACGAGUUAGUCUUUUUUGUUUAAUUAAGACUCUAAUCUCCCUUUCUAGAAUGCAAGAUAAAAAAUUAAGCUAGAAACGUUAUAUCAAAAUAAUGAAUAGUUACUAAUUUUUGUCAAAUAUAAUUCUAGACAUUCUAGUCACACAUUUUACCAUUUAGUCCAUAAAUUUUCAAAGUACAUAUUAUAUUUCUAAUAUUAUACUUUUAUGUUCAAAUUACUCUGUUGAAUUAUACAUGCGGCUUUUUAACAUAUUAUCCGCUGUGGGUUUAGAUUUAGUAAUGGCAAACCCGCUGCGGGUGCUGCCUAUUGCUAUCUCUAGCCGUGUACUUUUUUUUUCCUUUUAACUACAUUGAUGGAAAGCUGAAUUUUGACUUUUUAUAUUCUGACGAUCCUUCCUUGUACUUCAGUAUGAAGGAAUACGAAGAGAGGGCUGUAUCUUUGGCAUUGGAUCGGCAAAAGCUCCAGGCCCUCACCAAUAAACUUAAAUCAGUACGCUUGACAUGUCCUCUAUUUGACACAGCACGAUGGAUGAGUUGAAACUAAUGUUUGCGAUUGUUUUGCAGUUCUUGGCCCACUUUGUGAAAGAAGUGACUUACAAAUGGAUGCUUUUUUUUUUGGAAAUUGCAAGUCAAGAAUCUGGAGAGGUCAUAUAUCAAAAUGUGGAGUCUCCAUUGCUCUGGGCAGAAGCCCCAACACUUCAAAGUAACUGAGAAUGACUUGGACUUCCCUUGCGAUAGAUAGGUAUAUGGGAAGGGAAACGGGAUUGUAGAUAAAAGCAAAUAGGAAUAGUAGAACGAUGAUUAUUAUUGUAUUUAGAAGAAGAAAUUGUUUCACCUUAUUCAAAUGACGCCAUGGCUGAGUUUGUGAUGUCAGUGCUGAUAAUGGAUUGUAGUCUGUGUACAAAUGUACUUUUCUAUUUAUAAGGAUUUGUGAAAAACGUUGGAGAUUAGAAAAGAAAAUAAAUAGAUUCUUCCUCAAGCCAUCAGUUCUGUUCUAUUAGAGUUGGGACCAGUGGCACCUCCCUAAUCUCAUCAUCAAAUUCCUUCUUCAGUUAUAUUUAUUUCAUCUGUGAAAACGUCGUUUUUUUUCCUUUUUUUUAAGAACACUUUUAAUUUUUAUUUUAUUUUUUUAGUUAAAAGUAGUAUUGUGUUAUUAAUUUUUAUUUCUUUUGUAAUCUUAUUAUUAUCUUAUGCACAAGAUAAAAGAUUUUUUAGGUGACGAGUUUUUCAAUAUUAAUUAUUUAAUUAAAUUAUACAUAUGUUAAAUUAUAAUUUAAAAAUAAAUUUAAGUAUAAAAAUAUUUAAUCGAUAACAAAUCUGAAAAUAAUAAUAGAUUAUUUCAAAUUUUGUAUGGUUUAUUUUAGUUAGAUAAGAAGUAACCGGUACAAAAUUUUAAAAAAAAAAAGAUUGAUUAUAAUUGUAAGUAAUUUUUUUUUUUAAAAAGAUAGAUUAUCAAUAUAAGUGAUUUAUUGAAAAGAAAAAUUUGUGUAUGAUUAAUUUUAUUUGAAGCAGGGUUUUUGAAGGAUAAUGAAGGGGUCCCAAACACUGUGGAGUUGUUGGCUCUUCCGCUGUCAAAGUCACGUAUGCUUGGAAGCUUUUAACCACCGCUGUCAAAAGUCACGUAUACUGCAAUUGGAUCAUGGAUUUUUCAUUUAAUAAGAUAACCACCGGCGGCAACUCUGAUAUACAAAAACAUGUAUUUCAGAUUACGGAAUCUAUCCAAACAUAUAGCAUGCGAGUGCGAUUACCAGCUCGAGCAGUUUUUAUUGCGGAAUUCUUUCAAACACAUAGCACGCAUGUGAAGUUCCCACAUUGGACCUUCCAAGAUGUUAGUUUCUCUAUUCAGAAACCGAACUCAAUGCCUCAUCCCCUCCUUCAAAACCAUGACCACCGCAGCCGCGGCUAAAACCUCAAAAGACGAUUACUUCGCAGCCGUAAACCACAUCGCCAUCAUAGUCCGUCACUACAUAUAUCCAGAACGCACCCUCAACAGACUCAACCUCACCCUCACCUCAGAGCUCGUCUACCGCGCCUCCGCGUCUGCCACACUACUUGCCCUUCCAAAUCCCUCCGCUUCUUCACCUGGGCCCGCUCCCAGCCCCAAUACUCCCCCACUUCCCUCGAAUUCGAACAGCUCAUCUGACCCUCGCCCACCACAAACUCUACCAGUCCAUGUGGAAUCUACGUUCUUCUGGCAUUUGAUUGCGUUCCACCCAAGCACGCUGUUAUUUAUUUUUAAGAAAUAAUGGUGUUUGUAAUUAUUGUCUUUUCUGGCUUUAUCUAGAGUUUAUCUGAGAAAUAAACAGUCAUAAAUAGUUUUGGUUGAUGGACUCUUGGACUUGGUAUUGGAAUUUGGAUUGAAGCAGAGGCGGUUGGCUCGGAGAAAUGAUUACUUUGAACAUUUUUUGCAUGCAUGUAUUUUAUGAUUUUUCAUUUGCUUCUAACCUUGUUGUUCAUUCAAAUGAAAUCAAAUACUCAUUUGGUAUGAUAGAAUCAGUGGGCAAUCAUUUUUAUUUUAGCUUAAAAACCAGGUUAUCUUUGCAUAGCUAUAGUUUUAUAGUUUCUGUUUCUGUGCUUUAUGCUUUCAAAUACUGAUGAUGAACCGAGUGUUUAGCCCAGAGCAAGCUUUCGGGUUUAAGGACAUUAAUUUGCAGCUGAUUCAGCGGUUACACAUACAAUGAUAAAAAUGUGUACCCAAACGCACAGUUUAUGAGCAUGUCUCUCACUGUAUACACGAUUGAGAGUGGGUCCGCCUCCUACUUUAUAACAAUUUAUGUUAGAGUAAUGAUACAGCUACAAACUCUUGUACAAACUUAUUUUGUACAAACUGACGUGGCAUUAAUUCAUUGGUUGAAUGAAAAUAUAAAAUAGUAAAAACAAAUUAUGUGGGCCAAGUGAUAUUUAAUUCAACCAAUCUUAUCAUGCCACAUCAGUUUGUACAAAAUAAGUUUGUACAAGAGUUUGUGGCUAUAUCAUUACUCUUUAUGUUAUACUGACAAUAUUUUCCGCAGUGAUCGCAUGUUUGAAGUUUUGCUUCUCGAAAUGGCUCCUUUCAUUUUUUUCUUUAUUAAAAUAGACAAUUUUCGUUUUUCGUUUUCGACAAGGAAGGUAACUGAUAUGUUUAACGAAGGGAUGAUGUUUUCCUUCAAAAAAUAGUUCAGAGUUAUCGGUAGCGUCUUGUCUUUAAUUUUCUGAACUCCGUGCAGUUGGUGUAAUAGUUUUUGCUGUUCUUCUCUUUGCGGCUAGUGCCUAGAGAGAUGGAGAGAAGCUGAAUGUGAACUAGGAAGGUGGAAAUGUUGUACAUUAACAUACGUAAUCAACUACGACUAUAAAUCCUUUUCAUGGACCCAAAACAUCAUAUCAAUCAAUGCCAUUAUAGUUAUCAAAACUAAAAAAUUAUGGCUUUUGAUAAGUUACAGCUUGUUGUAAGUUUUUGUCCUUACAAAAACAUACAAAAAAUAGUAAUAUGACAGUGAGCACACUUAAUUUUUGUAUGGGCUGUAAAUUACGCUAACUUAGUGUAACUAAAUGUAUUAUAAGAAAGACAAAAUUUAUUGAUUUUUUUCUUAACUAAGUGAUUAGAAUACAUUUACUCAUAAUUAUCGAAGCAGAAAUUAAGUGAUAAUCAAGGGCUUGUAAAACACUUAAUUUCAAACCUCUAAAUUUGAGAACUAUAACAAUAAGAGAAGUUAAGUAACAAUUAAGUGCUUAUAAAACGAUAACUUUUAUUAUAGGUAAAGGAGAUAUGUAUUCAAUAACUAACCACAGGCUGAAGCUCAUCUCAUAUGAAUACUAUUGUGCGAUAGAGAUUACAAUUGUAUGACAAAUGACCCUUGAUAAAUUUAGACAACUAGUAGAAAUUAGAAUUUAAAUUUUUUAUUUUUAAGUUUUUCCAAUAUUCCAAUGUUAAACAUUUAAUUAAAAUUAAAUAAAUCUUAAGGAUAUAUAAAAUCAUGUUUUUAUAAUAGGCCUAAAACGAAACUUUAGAAAAUACAUUUUUUAUGUUAAUUUCUCUUAUACAUUUAUCUGUUACAUACAAAUAUGAUAUGAAUGAGUGAUAAACUCUUUCAUAAAUUAUAUAUUUGACAAGACCAAACCAAAACUUCCACAAAAUAAAUAAUUAAUUAGUUAAUCCAAAACUACCUCGGUUAAUCUGUUAAAUGUUGAAUGUGUUUGAAUAAAGUAAUUUAUAACAAUUUUAAACAAAAUAAAUUUGGUCUAUUCUAUAUUUCAGUCGUCAAUGAGAGUUCUUUUCACCCUUCAACUACUGGACUCUCGCAAUUUAGAGUUAUCAUUUUUAUUAUUAUUGUUAUUGGUCAUAAUUUUAAAAUUUGUUGGGAAAUCUGCGGAAUUAUAUAUUAAACAUCUAAAUUAAUAAUAUGUAUGAAAUAAAUGGCAUCCCACACAAAUAUAAACAAUAAUUUUACUUGAAUUAAACACCCAAAUCCUAUAUUAUAAUAUUAUGCAUAAUUAAACUUACACACUAGACCAUUUUAUUAUAAUUUGGACUUGUGAAGUAUAUUAUUCACUCAGAUUUAUCAACCGUAGAUCACUUUAUCAAACCAUGAUUAUUGUAGAAUUAAAAAAGUUACUGCUUGUCAACUGUAAAUGGACGAACUGUUUAUACUCACCCUUUAUAUAAUUGUGUAAUUAAUUAAUCUUUGUAUAACUCAAAAUUAUUGUUUACUCUAUCAAUCUUAAUGAAUUGAAAGUAGAUGGUUUUAAUUUGCAAAUGUUUUUGCUUCUAUAUUUGUAACUAUUUUUAUUUAAAAAAAUUCAUUAAACAAAUAAAGUUGACCAAAGCAUUCUCCAAAUGCCGACCGUUUUAAUUGACAAAGCUUAAAAACUUUUAAGGAAAUUGGGGCAGAAUAAAUCCUUGAUUAUGUGUAAACUGAUAACCUUCAAAAACCAUUUAAAUUGCCUUUCUAAAGUAUUCUAAUCCAAUAUUUGCUAUAUGAUUUCGAACCAAGUUCGAUUUGUUCAAUUCAUGAUUAAAUGGCAAAGAUAAUAUUUUAAGGAGUUGAAAUAGUUCCACUUUAUUAAUAACUCGGUACAAACCUAAUAAAAAUGAGGAUAUUGGAGUCUCUCGCUCCCCUUGUAUUUGAGAGUAUUUUCGCUUAUUUAUUUAUUAUUUUAGAUUUCUAUGCUGCGUUUAUCUAGUUUAUUAAAAAAAAAGGAAGAUCCUCCUUCGAAAAAUUUCACAAAUUCCAUGCGAGUUAAGUAAGAACUACGCCAUUCAUUAUUUUUAUAUAUGCGGAUACAAGUUGAUCAUAUAUAUAUAUAGAGAGUAACUAAACUAUGUCUUCAGGCAACUAGUUAGCCCCGAACUUUGCUUGAAGAGCUUUCACUACAUAAGGAUCAAGUUGGAAUGCCCUGGCGAGAGCAUAAGGAUCAAUUGGUGGAUCUGAUCCGAAGACUACAUCUGCAAUUGUAAUAACACCAGGAUUCUGGCUACUCAAAGCAGCGAUGGCAAACAGCGUUGGUUGGUCGAAUAUUCACUUGGAAAUGAAUGAGCCCAUUUGGAAACACAAACACAUCUCCUUUGUUCAGGGCUCUGGUGAAGUGUGUUCUUUAGCUGGUUUGAUGUCACAAAACCAACAUAGAGAGUGCCCUCUAGGAUUACUAGGAUUUCUGGGGCACAAUGAUGAGAGUGAUGUGGGUUUGGCCGCUGUUUGCCGCGUAGUCGAUACGAACUAUAGAUAUGCCGAGUAGUGUUGUGCCCUGGAAUCUGUUCUACAUUUGCAGUUGUGACUGUUGAGCUAACUUGAUUCGCUACGCUUUUAGGGAUAUUGUGCCCUGAAAAUUAAUCAAAACUACUUGUUAAAAAGAUUCCGUUUCGUUUUGAAUUUUUUUGUGCCUUUUACUAUUUUAUCCCUAUAAUUAGACUUAUGAUACAUAAAAUGUCAACAAUUAAUCAAUAAGAGAAAAAAAUUAGUCAUAAGUCUGAUUUUAAUGGUAAAAUAAAAAAUAGACAAAAAAGUACAAAGUUUACGUAAUCAUUUUAAUGCCAAAGAGUUUUAAUGAGUUUUGAAACGUAAGGAGAAAAAUAAUAAAUCUACUAGAACAAUAGGAAGAUUUUGAUCAUUUUCCCACUGAUAUAAAGAAAAACGAUACACACCACACGUCUUGAUCUUGAAAUCGUUGAUGGCGACACAAAAAUCCUGAAGACGGCUAGGGUCAGAGGCAAUGGCCAAUGAACAAGCCAAAACCAAGAGAACAGAAGCUACAGGAAAUUGAACUCCUUUCAUGUUGAUUAGCCACAUGCAAUUAGGGAUGGCAAAAAUUCCUACGGGGACAGGUACCCUCGGGGAUUUUCCCCAUUCAGGGAGGGUAUGGGAAUAAUUUCAUACCCAAUUUCUUAUUCGAGGAAAGGAAGGAGAAAUUUUUUUACCAAUUUCUUAUUCGGGGAGGGGACAUGGAUGAGGUGGAAUCCUCAUCCCCUACCCGUUUUCCCAUUUUAAUUUUUAAUUUUAUUAUUAUUUUUUAAAAUUACUAGUAAAUAAAUAAUAAAAUUUGAAUUAUAAAAUUAUAAAUAUUGGUAAAAAUAACAAAUAUCAAAAUAUUUAUAUUAUUAAACUUUUAGGCUUAAUUAACUAAUUAAAGUUCUAAAUUUUUAUUUAGGACAUUAAAAAAACCGGGUAAAUUCUAUUAGCCCAAAAAUUUUGUUUUAAUUUUAAUAUUCAUUAAAUGUUUUAAACUUAAAUAUAUUUUUUAUUUAUUUUUAGAUGUUAUAAUUGCCCACAGCGAAUCACAAUUUUAAUAUCUAAUUUAAUCUAAUAUUUGCUCUUGAUUUGCUCCGACUUAACUAUUGUGUUGUAAAGGGAAUAGUCCACAUUUAUAAAGUGCCAUGCCACCAUUGAAAAAGUUAAUUUUGAAUCUAAAUUCGAUUUUAUUUGUAACAAUUUUGUAUUAGACUAUUAAUUUAUUCAUGAUAGUUUGUAAAAGAAGUUUGUAUCCCUUACAUGCUGCGUUACUUACUAAUUUAAUGUANNNNNNNNNNNNNNNNNNNNNNNNNNNNNNNNNNNNNNNNNNNNNNNNNNNNNNNNNNNNNNNNNNNNNNNNNNNNNNNNNNNNAAUGUAUUAGUUAUUCGGGGAUUGAGGACCCUUGGGGAUCCCCUAUUAUUAUUCGGGGAGGGGAUGUAGAUUCUCUCAAGUAAUUCUGACGGGGACGGGGACAUACGCAAAAUAUCAGGGAUGGGUACGGGGGGAUUGGUCCCCUCCCCUCCCCUCCCCAUUGCCAUCCCUACAUGCAAUUGCUUGCUACAUGCAUGCAAAUGUUCAACAUUAUGUGUGAUUGCUCUUAUCAAGCGACAUCAACUAGUCAUCUACCAAUUGAUCUUGGGGCUCAAUAGAAUCUGUUUCACAUCAGAUUUUGCAUAACAAAAAGUAAUGAAGAGAUUAAUUAAUAUAUGUGUGUGUGUGUGUGUGUGUACGGAAAAAAUAUAUGUAUAAGGAGAGGCAUGGGAAAGGCUUAGCUGCUAAAUAAAACCAACCAUAAAUUAUGUUUAUUACAUGGCUACAAUCAGCCUGAAGAGAGGUUCAUGAGAGAGCUUUUUUUUUACAUUAAUUAAGAUAUGAUAAUCUAGAGCUAAAACAAUAAAGCCACUAGUGAAGAGGCCAUUUAUAUUAAAAGCUCAUUAAUUCCUUCUCCUAAUCGCCAUUAAUGAACUUAUGCUGAAGAUCUUUCACUGUCUUCGGGUCCAACUGGAAUGCCUUGGCAAGAAAAUCGGGAUUGAUUGGAGGAUUAGCUCCAAAGACCGCGUCGGCUAUGGUAAUUUCACCGGGGAACUGGCUGUUUAGAGCAGAAUAGGCAACUGCAUUUGUUUUUCCAACGUUGAAUUGGAAGUGAAUCAAACCUUUUGGAAACACAAAAGCAUCUCCCUUAUUCAGAACUUUUGCGAUGAGUUUGUUAUUUAGCUGGUCUGAUGUCACAAAACCGACAUGAAGAGUUCCUUCCAGGACCAGCAGGAUUUCACUGGCACGGGGGUGAAUAUGAGGUGGCCUUUGGCCAUAUGGCGCAUAGUCAAUGCGGAAUGCUGAUAUGCCAAGGGUGUUGAGUCCUGGAAUUUGCUCAACAUUUGCAUCUGUUUCAUCAACACCAAGUCGAUUUGCUGUGUUUCCAGGCUUGUCUAGCCCUGAGAAGAAGAAAUCAUCUGCUCUCGCAAGCUUGGGGUCCUUGCAGAACUUCCCAUUCACAAACACUACAAGAACACACACACAUACACACACAAAGGGGGAAAAAAAGAAUAAUUAAGUAGCAGCACAAAUUUUAUUGAAAUUUAUAUGUUUCGUUAGUUCAGCUUACGUACCACCAUCCUUCGGGUCCUCGAUGGCUACACAGAUAUCUUGAAGAGGGCUAGGGUCAGAGGCAGAGGCCAAAGAAGAAGCCAAAGCCAAGAGAGCAAAACCUAUAAGAAAUUGAAUUGCCUUCAUGGUGAUUAAUUAACAGGACGUACUUAUCUCAAACUUUAAUCAAGUGUUGGGAUUUGAGAAUAUAGCGAGGGAACCUAGCCUAUUUAUAGAACGGAGUCCAUGAACGAGUCUGUGAGUUCAAUUUCUUAGUCCUCGAAGCAGGAGAAGACUAACAGAGUCCUCAUUGGUUAUCUUUCUUAGGGCCUGUUCGGUAAUUUUUUCCUCUCAUCUUAAAACAUAAUUUUUUCCUCUCAUCUUCUUCCUCUCUCUCUCUCCCUCGUCGUCAAAUCUUAUCUCUAAGUGUCUCAUCUUCUUCCUUUCUCUCCCUUACCAAGUUAUACACGUUACUGCUUUUUCCUUUUUUCUCGAUCAUUUUUUCAAUUGACAUUGUGCUUUCCUUCAAUUUACUCAACUCAUUGGAAAGAAACGAGUUGAAGAAUGUAUGAAAAUGGGUGAGAAGGAAAUUCACGUCUUUGGCAACAGACUAACAGUUGAGAGUCAUGUUCUGUAGAUAUCGAUGUUUCCGGACCUGAUUGGUUUGUCGUUGGACUUAAUGGAGAAGCAAGAUUAGGCUUUUUUUUUUUUUUCUUUUCAUAGCAACUUUCGUAGCUUCUUUAACCAUUUUUAGUUCUAUUAAUGCUUUACCAAGUCAAUGAUGCACGUGUUUUUUUCAUUACGUGUUAAAGUCACAAAUCAUCUGCUUCAAGAGAAAACAGACUAGGAUCAGAAAGGAACCAAAAGUCUUCCAUCUUAUUUUCUGUGGUCACGUUAAUUAGAAGCUGGAGUCGGCACUUUUUGUUAGAGAUAUCCUUCUACAAUCUCAAUUGAUAUAAUAUCAUUUCAACUUUAAUGGCUGCCCGAGGUUUACCGACCGGCUAGCUCAUUAUUUUUUUGAUAAAAAUUAGUUACCUUCGUUUGUUAUAUAAUCAGGGGGAUAUUGGAAUAAAAGAGAAUGGAAAAUGCUAAGUAUCAAGAAGAAUGAGAGAAAUCUGAGAGAAUGAAGCAUGUGCUGAGAGAAGAGAGAGAGAGAAAAAGUUGACAGAAGAGAGAGAGAUGAAGCAAAACAGAAACCUGAAUUGUAGUUUCUCUCAGCUUUCUCUCGUUCUUCUAGCCAUCUAGCAGCACUCAAAGAGAAUAAUUCUUUUUGACGCUUUAAUUAUGCAGUGAGUGCUACUAUAUGACUAGAAGAACGAGACAAAGCUGAGAGAAACUACAAUCUAGGUUGCCGUUUUGCUUCAUCUCUCUUUUUUGUCAGCUUUUUUUCUCUCUCUCUUCUCUCAGUACAUGCUUCAUUCUCUCAGCUCUCUCUCAUUCUUCUUGAUACUUAGCAUUUUCCUUAUGUAAUUGAUCCCCUGCAUUGGGAUUGUACCGUUAUAUAUUAUUUGCUGUUUGUUUUUUAUUUAAGAUCUGAAUAAGUUUAAAUUAGUAUGAAUUUUAAAUAAAUUUAAAUGCAUGAAUUUGAAUAACGUAUUUAUUUAUUUUUUGUCACAAACUUUGAGAAUAAAUAUUAAGUUAUUUUUAACUUCAAAAAUCUAAAAUCAAAACCUUUACAUUUGUGUCCUUACAAUUUUAAAUGUUAAAUAUAUAAUGAACAUCUCAAAGAAUAUAAAUAAGAUAGUAUUUUAUCAUAAUAUAUUUAUAUUUUGUAUGAAUUUUAAAUAAAUUUAAAUGCAUGAAUUUGAAUAACGUAUUUAUUUAUUUUUUGCCAGAAACUUUGAGAAUAAAUAUUAACUUUUAACUUAAAAAAUCUAAAAAUCAAAACCUUUACAUUUGCGCCUUUACAAUUUUAAAUGUUAAAUAUAUAAUGAACAUCUCAAAAAAUAUAAAUAAGAUAGUAUUUUAUCAUAACAUAAAUGGUGCUCAGUGAAUGCAACCUAUUAAUAUUCUAAAUUAGAAUUAUAUUAAUAAAAUUUUGUGAAGAUAAAUAAUUCUAGUUUGAAGAAAAUAAAAAGAUAAAAAUAAUGAUAAUUUACUACUAUAUUAGUAAGCUUUAUUUAGGUAAGGAGGAAAAUAAAUUAAUUAGAUAAAGGUAUUGCAGAGAAUAUUUUUCAAUGAUGUGAUUCAAAAUUUUCAGAUUAAGUAAAAAGCUAAACAAAAUAAUUAGCUUAAAAACUUAAUGACUUAUCAAUCACUAAAUUUUUUUAUUAAAUUGAAAAAAUUAACAGAGUUAUGGUCCAUUUAGGAUUUAUUUCGGGAGGUGCUUUUGAAAAGUUUAAAAGGUAAUUUUGAUGUUUGACAAAUUUUUUAAAAAAUCACUUUUAGCAAAAUCACCGUAUCAUACAACAAAUUUUUAAAAGUAGAGAAAGAGUAGUUUUUUAAAAUUGGAUUUCGAGAAUCCCUUUUAUACUUAAUACAAUUUCAUAUAUAUUCUUAUAUAUAGGAAAAAAUCCAAAACCAUCCUUAUAAAUUAGAAAAUAAAAUUAUUAAUUUUAAAGAGAUUAUUAUUAUUACCAAUUCUAUUGAGAUAACAAAAUAAAAAAUAAAAUUAAAAAUAUAAAACAUUUAUUUUAGUUAUCAAUUAUUAUUUAUACACAACUAAAAAUAUUUUAUUUACAUGUUUAUAAAUGUGUAAAUAAUUUUUAUUCAACAAUAUGUUCAAUUUAAUUAUUUACAUUGUUAAAACAUUUUAACAGUAAGAUUUACUAAACAUUUAAUUGAUCUCUAUACAGCUAUNNNNNNNNNNNNNNNNNNNNNNNNNNNNNNNNNNNNNNNNNNNNNNNNNNNNNNNNNNNNNNNNNNNNNNNNNNNNNNNNNNNNNNNNNNNNNNNNNNNNAUUAAAUCAUUAAGUUAGGAAAACAAACUGCCCUUUAGUAAAUUUCUUAAUGCAAAUAUUAUUAAACUAUAAUGUAAUUAAAAAUAAUAAUCUCUUCCUCUAUUCACUUUUUUAAUUACAAUUAGUUUCAGUAGCUAUUUUGAAUGACAAACUGAAUUGAUCGCGAUAUAAUAAUCUCUUCUUUCAAUCAUAUGGGCAGGUUUGAGUCACUGAGGUAGCUGUGGGAAUUUGUUUUCGUUGAUUUCUGCACUGGGCUUUUUAGGAUUAUUUGUAAAGGCAUUAAUUAAGUAUUUUUAAUGGGUUUAUAUGUAAAUUAGAUUGUAUGUAAUAUUAAAGGUUUGUCAACCAAACUGGCAACCAUUAAUUAAGUUAAAAUCCAUUCGUGUCAGUAUUUAAGAUACGUGUCACAUUCUGGCAACAAUCUUAAUAUGUGUUUCCAUUCGAACUUUCCACUGGCUGCUUGACCCAUCUAAGUUAUGAAAAGUUUCUGAGAAAAUGAAAAAAUAAUCCAUGGCCGUGGAAAUAAUAGAACGCCGCCAGCUGUAUUGUAUGAUUCUAUGAGCGAUUUAUCAUUUCUUUUUUCUUUUUAUUUCGACAAUUUAUUACUGACUACUGUAUUGCAGGCUUGUAGCCAUUAAGUGUUUGGAUAAUUUAUCCCAUUAUUUUCAAAUAUAAUCCAGAUAUAAUUCUAGAUUAUGCUGGUAGAAACAUCGUCUCAAAGAUUCUAUUGGGUCAUCAAUAGCUGUAUAUAUCUUGAAGGGGACUAAUUUUUCUAGGAUAUGCUGGUGGAAAAUUUUGCACCACGUAACUACUAUGAAUGAGUCUUUGUUGCUUAAUUAAGACUCUAAUCUCUCUUUCUAGACUGCAAGAUAAGUUUAAGCUAGAAACAUUAUAUCAAGGUGUACACAUUUUCAUCAAAUAUAAUUGUAGACUUUCUGGUCACACAUUUUACCAUUUAGUCCAUAAUUUUUCAAAAUACCUAUUAUGUUUCUAAUAUUAUACUUUUAUGUUUGAAUUAGUCUGUUGAACUAUACAUGUGACUUUUUAACAUAGAAUACCCUACAUACCUUUUAGUAGGGGAUUUAAAAAAAAGAGCGCAUUAUAUUAAACUAAGGUAGUAUUUGUUUUUUUUUUUUUUGUCUGAAAUCUAAAUGAAUCUGAAUUUUUCUAAAGUCUGAAUGGGUCUGAUUACGAAAAUUUAAAUAAUAUGUUUAUUUUUCUUUUUUAAAUAUCUGAAUAUAAGUGACAUUUUGUUUGUUUUUAAAAUAAAAACAUCUUAAACUUGGUUAUUUGACAUUUAUGUCCUUGUAAAUUCAAAAAAAAAAAAGAGAAUUAGAUUUUAUAGUUUAGGAAAUAAGUUAUUUUACAGAGAUAUUUUUAGAAUAUAAUAUUUACUUGUCUUUCAGACCUUUUUUCAUACAGAUAAAAGUCACAAAGUUUAUUUUUUCUAUUCAUAUGUAAAUGUCUGAAAAUCAGACAUAAGUUCCAAAAAAACAAACAAGUAUAUUUUAGAAAAGGUCUGAAAUUAAUAAAAUUUCAAACUUCAGACAUUUAACAAACAAUCUCUAAGUGUAUGUUUAAUAUGAUUUAUCUAAUGGUCAUAAGUGCUUAUCUAAUCCCAUAAAUUCCUUUUAAAAUUAUUAUUAUUGUUUGAUUGCAUUUUAAGUAAAGUUUUUAAGGAUUAAAUAAAUUUUUUUGUCUCUACUAACAAAAGCUUAAAUUUUAAAAUUUUGAGAGUAUAGAUUAGAGAGACCUUUUAAAAAGUUAAAUCGUCCAAAAUGUUCCAUUAUUUAUUUCACAAUAUUAUGACAUUUCUCUCUCUCUCUCUCUCUCUCUCUCUCUCUAUAUAUAUAUAUAUAUAUAUAUAUAUAUAUCUUAAUUUUAAAAAUUGAUCUAUUAAAAUAAUUUUAUAUAAUUUUUAACAAAGAUCUCAUCGACAACCAAACAACUAAAAUUUCUUUAAUAAAAGCUUCACUUAUAAAAAUUUUACUAACAAAAAUUUUAUUUGAAUAAAUUUUAUCAGAAAAAUUAUACCAAACGAAGCUAACAAUAAGAUUAUAAUAGUAAAAGAAUUCAAUAAUUGCACUCUUAAUGUUACCAUUUAAAAAUUAUUAAGUUAAGAAUGAAAUAGGUAAUUUGGGAAACCCAUCUGGAGGGAUUUGCUUAACAUCCUUUAAAAUUUUUUCCCAGCUGGAAGUAAUUGCUGAACAUCCUUUUCAAUUCCCGAGUAUUAUCUAAUCAGCUUAUUUUGUCAUUUUUAGGUGUUUGCAAAGGCUUUUGGCAAGGAUACUGGGUUGGCUUACGUGUAGUGGACUGAUCAUGUUGACUUUGUUCGGUAGCACAUUUUAUUUUACGCGUGUCUAGUUGUAACCAUGUCUCUCACUGUAUACACCAGUGUGAGUGGGUCCACCUACUAUUUUAUGACAAUUUAUGUUAUACUGACAAUAUUAUUCGUGCUGAUCACAAGUUUGAAGUUUUGCUUCUCUCGAAGAACUGGCUCCUUUCAUUUAUUUAUUUAUUAAAAUUUACAUUUUUUUUCCGUUUCCUUGCAAGAAAGGUAAUUAGAUUAAGUUUAACGGGGCGAUGAUGUUUUCCAUUAAAUAAGUAAAACACAAUUUUAUGCCAGAGUAGAAAUGGCCAAUCAAAACAAGGGUUAUCCAUGUUCGUGCCAUGCCGUCGUGUGCUUAAUUUUUUUUUCUCGUACCUUGCCCAUAUGUGUUGUGUUGUGUCUAAAAAGAAGUUCAAUAAUUUUUUUUAGUUUUUUAAAAGCACGUACUAAGUAAUUGAUAUAUUUUUUUUAAGUUUAUGUUUUUUUUAGGUCUAUACCUUUAUUCAAAUUUAAUAGAAUUGAAAAUUUAAAACUCAAGUCUAUAUUUUAUAAUAAUAAACUAAUAAUAGUAAGAGAAUGUAAUAUUAAUUUUUAAGUUUGACAUUUUAACAUUAUUUUUUUUUAUACUUAACAACAACAACAAUAAUAAAUUUUUCUUAAGGGUUAACUUAAUUGUUAACUUAGACUUACAUAGAGUCAUAGAUCAUAAUUCACAAUAAUAUUAAUGGAUAUUUAUAAAAUCAUAAUAAUUAUAAUUUUAUUUAUUAAAAUCAUGAUAUCAAUUAUAUAUUUAAUAAAUUAUAAAUAUAAAUCAAUUAUAGUACUCUUUAAACUAAGAAUUAAAUGAAUUUAAAAAAUUCAUUUUCAAGUUAUUUGUAAAACUAUAAAAUUUUAAGUUUACUUUCAUUAAAAAAUAAAAUGUGCUUAUUGUGAACUUUUUUAUCGUGCUAUACUUAGUCCAUUUCUAAUCAUGUAGUGCUUUUAAUGCUCGUGUGCUUAAAAUUUUAAGUCUGGCCCAGUCCACGUGCGUACUGUGCCAUACCACAUACCCUACCAAAACGUGCUGGUAUUGUGCCGUACUGUACGAAUACAUGUCGUGCCAUGUGUCAUCUAGUCCAUUGGCCAUCUCUACGCCAGAGUGACAAUAUGCCACAUUGAGAAGAAUUGUGUGCCCCUAAAGCUGGAUUAAUAAUUUAAUUUGAAUUGACAUCUAUAACAGUUGUAGGCUAACCAAUAUUUCCACAGAAAAAAGUAGUUCAAAAUUAUUGGUCGCAUCUUGUCAUAAAUUUUUUAACUCUGCGCAGUUGGUGUAAUAGUUUCGGCUGCUAUUCUCUUUACUACUAGAGCCUAGAGAUGGAGUGAAGCAUAUUGGGAAUUAGGAAAAGAGAGUUGCUUCCUUACAAUUAGGCAGGCGCUAAGUUACGGUUAACGUAACUUACGCCCACACACAGUAACAGUACCACUGGUGGGGCCUGGUACUGUUGCUACGUAAGUUACGUUAUGCCGAGUAGUGUUGUGCCCUAGAAUCUGUUCUACAUUUGCAGUUGUGACUGUUGAGCCAACUUGAUUUGCAAUGCUUUUAGGGAUAUUGUGCCCUGAAAAUUAAUCAAAACUACUUGUUAAAAAGAUUCCGUUUCGUUUUGAAUUUUUUUGUGCCUUUUACUAUUUUAUCCCUAUAAUUAGACUUAUGAUACAUAAAAUGUCAACAAUUAAUCAAUAAGAGAAAAAAAUUAGUCAUAAGUCUGAUUUUAAUGGUAAAAUAAAAAAUAGACAAAAAAGUACAAAGUUUACGUAAUCAUUUUAAUGCCAAAGAGUUUUAAUGAGUUUUGAAACGUAAGGAGAAAAAUAAUAAAUCUACUAGAACAAUAGGAAGAUUUUGAUCAUUUUCCCACUGAUAUAAAGAAAAACGAUACACACCACACGUCUUGAUAUUGAAAUCGUUGAUGGCGACACAAAAAUCCUGAAGACGGCUAGGGUCAGAGGCAAUGGCCAAUGAACAAGCCAAAACCAAGAGAACAGAAGCUACAGGAAAUUGAACUCCUUUCAUGUUGAUUAGCCACAUGCAAUUCCUUGCUACAUGCAUGCAAAUGUUCAACAUUAUGUGUGAUUGCUCUUAUCAAGCGACAUCAACUAGUCAUCUACCAAUUGAUCUUGGGGCUCAAUAGAAUCUGUUUCACAUCAGAUUUUGCAUAACAAAAAGUAAUGAAGAGAUUAAUUAAUAUAUGUGUGUGUGUGUGUGUACGGAAAAAAUAUAUGUAUAAGGAGAGGCAUGGGAAAGGCUUAGCUGCUAAAUAAAAACAACCAUAAAUUAUGUUUAUUAAAUGGCUACAAUCAGCCUGAAGAGAGGUUCAUGAGAGAGCUUUUUUUUUAACAUUAAUUAAGAUAUGAUAAUCUGGAGCUAAAACAAUAAAGCCACUAGUGAAGAGGCCAUUUAUAUUAAAGCUCAUUAAUUCCUUCUCCUAAUCGCCAUUAAUGAACUUAUGCUGAAGAUCUUUCACUGUCUUCGGGUCCAACUGGAACGCCUUGGCAAGAAAAUCGGGAUUGAUUGGAGGAUUGGCUCCAAAGACCGCGUCGGCUAUGGUAAUUUCACCGGGGAACUGGCUGUUUAGAGCAGAAUAGGCAACUGCAUUUGUUUUUCCAAUGUUGAAUUGGAAAUGAAUCAAACCAAUUGGAAACACAAAAGCAUCUCCCUUAUUCAGAACUUUUGAGAUGAGUGUGUUAUUCAGUUGGUCUGAUGUCACAAAACCGACGUGAAGAGUUCCUUCCAGGACCAACAGGAUUUCACUGGCACGGGGGUGAAUAUGAGGUGGCCUUUGGCCAUAUGGCGCAUAGUCAAUACGGAAUGCUGAUAUGCCAAGGGUAUUGAGUCCUGGAAUUUGCUCCAC
rnacentral:lncRNA from 1 species